rnacentral:rRNA from 1 species
GACGAACGCUGGCGGCGUGCCUAAUACAUGCAAGUAGAACGCUGAAGAGAGGAGCUUGCUCUUCUUGGAUGAGUUGCGAACGGGUGAGUAACGCGUAGGUAACCUGCCUUGUAGUGGGGGAUAACUAUUGGAAACGAUAGCUAAUACCGCAUAAUAGUAGAUGUUGCAUGACAUUUGCUUAAAAGGUGCAAUUGCAUCACUACCAGAUGGACCUGCGUUGUAUUAGCUAGUUGGUGGGGUAACGGCUCACCAAGGCGACGAUACAUAGCCGACCUGAGAGGGUGAUCGGCCACACUGGGACUGAGACACGGCCCAGACUCCUACGGGAGGCAGCAGUAGGGAAUCUUCGGCAAUGGACGGAAGUCUGACCGAGCAACGCCGCGUGAGUGAAGAAGGUUUUCGGAUCGUAAAGCUCUGUUGUAAGAGAAGAACGAGUGUGAGAGUGGAAAGUUCACACUGUGACGGUAUCUUACCAGAAAGGGACGGCUAACUACGUGCCAGCAGCCGCGGUAAUACGUAGGUCCCGAGCGUUGUCCGGAUUUAUUGGGCGUAAAGCGAGCGCAGGCGGUUAGAUAAGUCUGAAGUUAAAGGCUGUGGCUUAACCAUAGUACGCUUUGGAAACUGUUUAACUUGAGUGCAAGAGGGGAGAGUGGAAUUCCAUGUGUAGCGGUGAAAUGCGUAGAUAUAUGGAGGAACACCGGUGGCGAAAGCGGCUCUCUGGCUUGUAACUGACGCUGAGGCUCGAAAGCGUGGGGAGCAAACAGG